rnacentral:rRNA from 1 species
AUUGAACGCUGGCGGCACGCCUAACACAUGCAAGUCGAGCGGCAGCGAGACUAGUAGCAAUACUAGUUGUCGGCGAGCGGCGGACGGGUGAGUAACACGUAGGAAUCUGCCCUUAAGUGGGGGAUAACCAAGGGAAACUUUGGCUAAUACCGCAUAAUCUCGAGAGAGCAAAGCUGCCCGCAAGGGUGGCACUUGAGGAGGAGCCUGCGUCCGAUUAGCUAGUUGGUGGGGUAAUGGCCUACCAAGGCGAUGAUCGGUAACUGGUCUGAGAGGACGAGCAGUCACACUGGGACUGAGACACGGCCCAGACUCCUACGGGAGGCAGCAGUGGGGAAUAUUGGACAAUGGGGGCAACCCUGAUCCAGCGAUGCCGCGUGAGUGAAGAAGGCCUUCGGGUCGUAAAGCUCUUUAGGUUGGGAAGAAGGGUAUUGGCUGAAUAAUCCAGUACUUUGACGGUACCGACAGAAUAAGCACCGGCAAACUCUGUGCCAGCAGCCGCCGUAAAAC